CCUACGGGGGGCAGCAGUGAGGAAUAUUGGUCAAUGGACGAGAGUCUGAACCAGCCAAGUAGCGUGAAGGAUGACUGCCCUAGGGGUUGUAAACUUCUUUUAUAAAGGAAUAAAACGAGGCACGUGUGCCUUUUUGCAUGUACUUUAUGAAUAAGGAUCGGCUAACUCCGUGCCAGCAGCCGCGGUAAUACGGAGGAUCCGAGCGUUAUCCGGAUUUGUUGGGUUUAAAGGGAGCGUAGAUGGGUUGUUAAGUCAGUUGUGAAAGUUUGCGGCUUAACCGUAAAAUUGCAAUUGAUACUGGCAGUCUUGAGUACAGUAGAGGUAGGCGGAAUUCGUUGUGUAGCGGUGAAAUGCUUAGAUAUCACGAAGAACCCCGAUUGCGAAGGCAGCUUACUAAACUGUGACUGACACUGAUGCGCGAAAGUGUGGGUAGCAAACAGGAUUAGAUACCCGUGUAGUC
rnacentral:rRNA from 1 species